ensembl:misc_RNA
UUGAACCAGGGUUCCUAUUUAUUUACAAAACAAGUACAUCAUAGGCUCUUGCAACUGCAAGUUUCCCACACUGCCUUGUCAAUGCUCUGCAACUUUGUUCUGAAGGGAUCAUCUUUACUGGUGAGAGAGUAGUUCAGUCUCCAUGCUCAUUCAGCCACUGACCUUU